GAGGGUGCAGCUCAAUGGUAGAGCUCAUGCUUUGCAUGUGUGAGGUCCUGGGUUCAAUCCCCAAUACCUCUG
rnacentral:tRNA from 1 species